ACGAAACCCCAUACACUGCACACCACAAUAACAACAAUAAAAACAAAACACAUCCCCAUUCCACAAACCACACACACAACACAAGCACACCAAAAUCCUUACAAGCCCACAGUAAACCUUACCCUAACCCUAAGGUCCGUCAUUGGU